AGAAUCAACGCUGGCGGCGUGCCUAACACAUGCAAGUCGAACGCGAGAGGGGCUUCGGCCCCAAUUGAGUGGCGAACGGGUGAGUAACACGUGGGUGAUCUACCUUUGAGUGGGGGAUAACGUUCCGAAAGGAACGCUAAUACCGCAUGACGUUCCGGGUUUGAAGACCUGGAAACCAAAGCCGGGGACCGCAAGGCCUGGCGCUUGGAGAGGAGCCCGCGCCUGAUUAGCUAGUUGGUGAGGUAAUGGCUCACCAAGGCUACGAUCAGUA
rnacentral:rRNA from 1 species